UAACACAUGCAAGUCGAGCGGAUGACGGGAGCUUGCUCCUUGAUUCAGCGGCGGACGGGUGAGUAAUGCCUAGGAAUCUGCCUGGUAGUGGGGGACAACGUUUCGAAAGGAACGCUAAUACCGCAUACGUCCUACGGGAGAAAGCAGGGGACCUUCGGGCCUUGCGCUAUCAGAUGAGCCUAGGUCGGAUUAGCUAGUUGGUGGGGUAAUGGCUCACCAAGGCGACGAUCCGUAACUGGUCUGAGAGGAUGAUCAGUCACACUGGAACUGAGACACGGUCCAGACUCCUACGGGAGGCAGCAGUGGGGAAUAUUGGACAAUGGGCGAAAGCCUGAUCCAGCCAUGCCGCGUGUGUGAAGAAGGUCUUCGGAUUGUAAAGCACUUUAAGUUGGGAGGAAGGGCAGUAAGCUAAUACCUUGCUGUUUUGACGUUACCGACAGAAUAAGCACCGGCUAACUCUGUGCCAGCAGUCGCGGUAAUACAGAGGGUGCAAGCGUUAAUCGG
rnacentral:rRNA from 1 species